rnacentral:tRNA from 1 species
GUAGGCAUAGUUUAACAAAAACAUUAGAUUGUGAUUCUAAAAAUAGAGGUUAAAACCCUCUUGCUCACC